AUGAAAAUUUGGAACGCCACUGCAAACUGGAAUGUUUGGCAGAAGCAAAACACUUCUGUGCUGUUUAUGAGGUAUAUAAAAAGGAAAAGAUUUUCCACCUGCAAAAUAUCUGAACGACCCCUGCCAUAUCUCCUACCCACAUGUGAGCAGAAAUACUUCCUUCAUUCCCUGCUUAGCUGAACUUUUUUUUUUUUUUUUUUUUUUUUGAGAAAAAAAAGGAUACCGUAGUUUUCUUGAAGCAGAUUGUACUUCAUUUUAUUGUAGUCUUGUAUGCAAUUGACAACUUCUGCUGACUCCAGCAGUGGGAUAAUAACUACUGGGACAUGCUGUGGUUACUGAAUAAUAACUGCUGGGACAAAAUCUGGUUACUGGACCAGGUUAUUGAACAGCUGACUAGAUGCAAAAAUCUAGGUAUAUAGCACCUACAUCCAUAACAUCUAGGUAUAUAGCAUCUAUAGCAUGACUUUCUGCAACAUGCUUCUCCCACUGAAUGCAGCAUGAGCAAGAGGUCAUGGACUGUUCUAGCAUGCUCACGUACCUGUUGAUAUAAUGAGAAACAACACUGAACGUAAGCAGACUAGCUACAAGAUUGUAGUAUGCUGAGCGCAGUGGAGAGAAAUUUAAUCCAUAUUAAUUCUUGAAAGAACAAGAUAGGAUCCUGUUGUUUUAAAGUGUAAGAGAAGUGGAUCAUGAUUUGAGACAGGAGACAUGAGAGAAAAAUCUGCAUUGUGGUAUACUUUCACUCAAGUGCCUCAAGUUGAC
rnacentral:lncRNA from 1 species